GGGGACAACCCGCCGAAAGGCGGGCUAAACCCGCGUACAUGCCACCGGGGCAUCCCGGAGGCAGGAAAGGCUUCGGCCGGACAGGGAUGGGCAUGCGGCGCAUUAGGCAGUAGGCGGGGUAACGGCCCACCUAACCGACGAUGCGUAGGGGUUCUGAGAGGAAGGUCCCCCACACUGGUACUGAGACACGGACCAGACUCCUACGGGAGGCAGCAGUGAGGAAUAUUGGUCAAUGGUCGGGAGACUGAACCAGCCAAGCCGCGUGAGGGAUGAAGGUACAGAGCAUCGUAAACCUCUUUUGUCAGGGAACAAAGGCGGGGACGUGUCCCCGGAUGAGUGUACCUGAAGAAAAAGCAUCGGCUAACUCCGUGCCAGCAGCCGCGGUAAUACGGAGGAUGCGAGCGUUAUCCGGAUUUAUUGGGUUUAAAGGGUGCGCAGGCGGUCUGUUAAGUCAGCGGUCAAAGCCCGGGGCUCAACCCCGGCCCGCCGUUGAAACUGGCAGUCUCGAGUUGGAGAGAAGUAUGCGGAAUGCGCGGUGUAGCGGUGAAAUGCAUAGAUAUCGCGCAGAACUCCGAUUGCGAAGGCAGCAUGCCGGCUCCACACUGACGCUGAGGCACGAAAGCGUGGGUAUCGAACAGGAUUAGAUACCCUGGUAGUCCACGCAGUAAACGAUGAA
rnacentral:rRNA from 1 species